rnacentral:rRNA from 1 species
GACGAACGCUGGCGGCGUGCUUAACACACGCAAGUCGAACGGUAAGGCCCUUCGGGGUACACGAGUGGCGAACGGGUGAGUAACACGUGGGUGAUCUGCCCUGCACUUCGGGAUAAGCCUGGGAAACUGGGUCUAAUACCGGAUAGGACCACUGCCUGCAUGGGUGGUGGUGGAAAGCUUUUGCGGUGUGGGAUGGGCCCGCGGCCUAUCAGCUUGUUGGUGGGGUGAUGGCCUACCAAGGCGACGACGGGUAGCCGGCCUGAGAGGGUGACCGGCCACGCUGGGACUGAGAUACGGCCCAGACUCCUACGGGAGGCAGCAGUGGGGAAUAGUGCACAAUGGGCGCAAGCCUGAUGCAGCGACGCCGCGUGAGGGAUGACGGCCUUCGGGUUGUAAACCUCUUUCAGCACCGACGAAGCGCAAGUGACGGUAGGUGCAGAAGAAGGACCGGCCAACUACGUGCCAGCCGCCGCGGUAA